rnacentral:rRNA from 1 species
AUUGAACGCUGGCGGCAUGCUUUACACAUGCAAGUCGGACGAGUGGCGAACGGGUGAGUAAUAUAUUGGAACCUACCUAGUAAUGGGGGAUAACCAAUCGAAAGAUUGGCUAAUACCGCAUACUAUUCGAUCGGCCCAUAUCAGAUUAGCUAGUUGGUGGGGUAAUGGCCUACCAAGGCGACGAUCAGUAGCGGGUCUGAGAGGAUGAUCCGCCACACUGUGACUGAGACACGGCCCAGACUCCUACGGGAGGCAGAAGUGGGGAAUAUUGGACAAUGGGCGCAAGCCUGAUGCAGCCAUGCCGCGUGUGUGAAGAAGGCCUUCGGGUUGUAAAGCACUUUCAGCGGGGAGGCGUUACCCGCAGAAGAAGCACCGGCUAACUCCGUGCCAGCCGCCGCGGUAAUAC